AUUGAACGCUGGCGGCAGGCUUAACACAUGCAAGUCGAGCGAGCGGCGGACGUGUGAGUAAUGUCUGGGAAACCGCCUGAUGGAGGGGGAUAACAACUGGAAACGGUAGCUGAUACCGCAUACAAUCAGAUGUGCACACAUGGGAUUAGCUAUUAGGUGGGGUAAUGUCUCACCUAGGCGACGAUCCCUAGGUGGUCUGAGAGGAUGACCAGCAACACUGGAACUGAGACACGGACCCAACUCCUACGGGAGGCAGCAGUGGGGAAUAUUGCACAAUGGGCGCAAGCCUGAUGCAGCCAUGCCGCGUGUGUGAAGAAGGCCUUCGGGUUGUAAAGCACUGUCGGCGAUGAGGCGUUACUCGCAGAAGAAGCAACGGCUAACUCCGUGCCAGCCGCCGCGGUAAUAC
rnacentral:rRNA from 1 species